rnacentral:lncRNA from 1 species
GCCUGAGAAAUCCCAAAAGGGGCCUCGGCGGCGGGCUCUGGAUCCCGCUGGGGGGCUCUGACCCUGCCAAGUCUGGGCACUCCGCUGCGGGCCUCCUGGCUCCCGGGGUUCAUGGCUGUUAUGGUUCCUGGCUGUCGGGGCUCCUGGCUUUCGGGGCUCCCUGGCUGAAGGGGCUCCUGGCUGUAGGGGCUCCUGGCUAUGGAGGUUCCCGGUUAUAAGGGCUUCUGGAUGUAGUGGAUUCUGGCCGUCGAGGUCCCUGGCUGUCGGGGCUCCUGGCCGUAAUGGCCCCUGGCUGUCGGGACCCCUGGGUGUCGGGGUUCCUGGCUGUCGGGACCCCUGGGUGUCGGGGUUCCUGACUGUAGGGGCUCCUGGGUGUUAGGGUUCCUGGCUAUAGCAGGGGCUCCUGGGUGUCGGGGUUCCUUGCUGUCAGGGCUCCUGGUGGUAGAGGCUUCUUGCUGUUGGCUUCCUGGCUGUCGGGGUGACUGGGUGUCAGGGCUCCUGGUGUUAGGGUUCCUGGCUUCCUGGCUGUAGUAGGGGCUCCUGGGUGUCGGGGUUCCUUGCUGUCAGGGCUCCUGGUGGUAGAGGCUUCUGGCUGUUGGGGUUCCUGGGUGCCAGGGCUCCUGGGUGUCAGGGUUCCUGGCUGUCAGGACACCUGACUCCUGAGGCUCCUGGCUUUUGGGGCUCCAGACCUUCCUUGCACUUCCUGUGUCUCCUGGGUCUGUAAUAGAAGGGGCCGGUGGAGGGGUGGGGGUGAGACAUGUGAGUGAAAGUGAAGUCAGAUGUGUACAUUUAGGAAGCUGAAAUUAUCAAAAAUGAAAUUGCAUAAAGGUGAGGAAGAACUGGGAGGUCUGGGAACAGAAGUGGUAGAUCUUGAACUUCAACACAGACAGGGUGCUUCCAAUUCAGUCCUGGGACCUGAACCCGGAGCCCACAGCAUGUCCCUCCUCCCCUGGCCCUCCGCGCGUGCCGCCACUCAUUGCAGCCCCACAGAGCCAUCACCCAUUGUAACCUCAGAACAGAAGGGGCUGGGUGGGUCCACAGAUCCCUGCACUCCUCCCGUCUUGCCUCCUUGGAUGAUCCCUGGCUUGUCUUUCUCCCUUGGGAAUCCCCCUGAUGUUGGCUCUCCAUGUGGUGUACUCUGUACCCCACACCCCAUGCUUCCCACACACCUUCUGGCCUGAGUAAUCUCCAUGCCCCCAGUGACAUCAACCUCCAGGGAAACCUCAAUAGCAAGCCCAGAACCCUCCCCUGCAUCCCAGAGCCUAGCAUCCACUAACUUUGAGGAGGGGCCAUCUUUUAUUGGAUAUCCCCAAACCACACUGGGCCUUCCCUCCAAAGUGCCUCUCCUCUUGGUUCCCAUCUCAGGGAACACCAUCGCUCCCACCCAGACACUUGGGGCUCCUUCUGACUGGUCCCCCUGCUGUCCCUGGGCUUUGAGGCCAAGCCCCCACAGAGCCUUCCCUACUAGCCAGGUGUUCCCAGGCCUCCUUUGCUUGCUUCUACCGUGGCCUGUCUCAUGUUGUAGAACUGUGCUUGUCCUCCAUUGGCCUGUGUUCUUAAAGGGCAGGAGCUGAUCUGUGUCUCAGUGCCUGGAUCAGAGUCAGACACAUAGGAGGUACUCAGUCCAUGCUAACAGCUGCCAGAGGACUGGGCUCACUGGAUUGCAAAGACUUCGUACGAGAAAAGUAGCAUAUCAUUCAUACUUUUUAUAUUGAUUACAUGUUGAAAUGAGGAUAUUUGGAUAUAUUCGGUUUUCUGAAAUAUAUUAUUUAAAUUGGUCUCUUUUACCUUUGGCUCCUGAGAAAUGUCUAAUUUCAUAGGCAACUUUCAUUCGUGGCCCUUGAAUUUUCUUGGGCAGCACUACUGUGGUGUUUAAAAGCCUUUUGGAGCCUGUCACAUGUAUACCUCACCUGGAGAAAUACAUGGUAUUGAACACGGUAAAUUGUGUUAUUUAAAAUGCAACAGGAGAGUGAUGAGGAACCAUUUUGUAUCUUGCCUGUGGUGGUGAGAACACAAACUAAACAUGAUAAAAUUGUAUAGAACUUGGCUGGGUGCUCUGACUCACACCUGUAAUCCCAACAAUUUGGAAACCCCAGACAGGAGGAUCACUUGAGCCGAGGAGUUGGAGACCAGCCGGGCAACAUAGGAAGACCCGGUCUCUACAAAAAUAUAUAUAUAUAUAUGAGUCAGGCAUGGUGGCUCACACUUGUGGGCCCAGGUAGGUGAGAGGCUGAGGUGAGAAGAUCACUUGAGCCUGGGAGUUGGAGGCUGCAGUGAGCCAUGAUCCUGCCACUGCUACUGCCCACUAACCUGGGCGACAGAGCAAGACCCUGUCUCAAAAACAAAAACAACGCACACACACACACACACGCAUGCACGCGCGCACGAGUACAAGUAAAACUGGGAAAAUCUGAAAAAGAUCAGUCGAUUGUUUAUAAAUAUCAACAUCCUGGUUGCAGUAUUACAGUUUUGCAAGGUGUUGUCAUCGGAAGAAAGUGUACACAGGAUCUGUAUUAUUUCUCACAACUGCAUGUGAAUCUACAGUUGUUUUAAACUAAAAAGUUUAGUUAAAAACCAUGUAAAUAAGACUUUAAAGUUUACUAUGAAAAGAAUGCAAUAGGAGGGAAAAAAGACACCAUGUCAAAAAAAAAGAAAAAGAUACCAUGUCAUAAAACAAGAUACACAUUCUGGUUAUCACUUUUUUUCUUUUCUUUUCUUUGAGAUGGAGUUUUGCUCCUGUUGGCCAGGCUGGAGUGCAAUGGCGUGAUGUCGGCUCACCGCAACCUCCACCUCCCGGGUUCAAGCGAUUCUCCUGCCUCAGCCUCCCAAGUAGCUGGGAUUACAGAACUGACUGGGAGAACCCAGCAAGGCUGGUCUGGUGUUCAGAUUCUUCCUGGCCUCUGUGCAGCCUCCUUCCUUCUGGGUAAAGGAGCAAGACCCUCUGUGGAAUGAGGUCUUAUGAACUACACUCAAGCAAGACGGAAUCUCGUUCUGACGCCCAGGCUGGAGUGGAGUGGCAUGAUCUCGGCUCACUGCAACCUCCGCCUCCCGGGUUCAAGCAAUUCUUCUCCCUCAGCCUCCCAAGCAGCUGGGACUACAGGCGUGUGCCACCACACCUGCAUUUAGCCAUUUAGCCAAGUUCUAUUCCGUCUUGGUGGUGGUGGUGGGGUUCCCAUAGCCUGAAGAAUAAGGGCCUGGGGCUCUGGGCCUGGGGACUGAAGCUUAGGCCUUGGAGACCUGAAGCUCCAGUGGAAGAUGCUUUCCUGGACUUUCCUGGCAGCAAAAAAAACUUCACCUCUUGCCUAUGAAUUGCCUGUAUUUUAAAGGGUGUGUGUGUGUGUGUGUGUGUGUGAGAGAGAGAGAGAGAGAGAGAGAGAAAUUGAGGUGUAAUUAUUUUGCUGGGUGAUGACAACAAACAUUUACUGCUCCUAAACAGGCAAGGAAAUGAUUUAGCCAUGAACUUUUCAUGAUGCCUCAUUCCCUCCUGUGGUCCCGUGGUCCUCAGGCUGCGCAGUGGGAGAAGGGGGGGUGGGGGGCCACAAAUAACCCACGUGGAAAGGAAUGUGGGGUCAGCCUCAGGAAAACUGGGAGGGGAGGUCCCACCUGGUGGGGGUCUUUGUAAACCCUACCAAGGGAAGCCCAGAAACACAAAGAGGUGCAGGGAGAGAAAGAAGGAGGAGGUGUUUUAAAGAGUAAAGCCUGGCAUUAGAAAGUGUUAUUCGAGUAAAAUGGCCAACGUUUCCUUUCUUUUAAGAGCGACUCUUAAAUUCCAAUUACUCCGCCCCCAAAGACCAGUUGAGAAUAACCCCAACUGGAGGGAAUUAAUUUCCUUAGGAAUUUCACUCUUACAAGAUUAAUGGAGCCCCCCUGCAGAGAAACGGUAAAACUGUAAGUACAGUAGAUUUGCACCUGAAGGAUACAUAUUUUAAUUUCUGUUCUCAAGCUGCGAUAACAUCUUCUCCAGCUACUAUAAAAAGCAUAAAUGAGCACCCGCACGUCUGCUGAGAACUUGCAACCCCAGGCUCCCCGGGAGCAGCCCCGCGCCGACCCUCCACGUUGCUCGCCUGGGUGCGGCGUGGGCGCGGGGAUGGGAAGGCGCGGGGAUGGGAAGGCCCAGGGCAAACAGCCUCCCCGCGAGCCGGGUCGACCCAGCCCAGAGCAGAACCCCUGGACCAGAUUAUCUUAAGUCGACCCCUACCCCGCCCCCAGCCCUGUCACCCACCGUGGCACCGCCCUCCCGCGGGGACAAUUGGCCUGGACCAAGAAUGGGGAGCCUGAACAGUGGCCGGUCUCCCACCCGCUCCUCCGGAGCCUGCAGGGGGGUUCAGCCUCUGUCCAGCAGACUUCCUGGCCCCAAGAACGGGCCUUGGGAAGGGGCUCCCCUGACUCCAAGUUGACAGCAGCCCGUCCCUUCUCCUUAGCCCAAGCCACUCUGGCAAUGGGGACCUGCCUCCCUCACGCUAACCAAGGACCGGUCUGGGAUGGGGAGUUGGAGAUGGGCUGUGAGGACUCUUCUCUCAGCCCUUAAGAGUCCAGAACUUAUCUGGGAACACAUCAGCCAAUUUUCUGUUCCCUUUCUUGCCAGGAACUGCUUUUAUUGGAAGAAGUCUAUGUAUAUGCAUGCCAUAAAGGUUGUUUAUGCUGUCAUAGCUAGAUUUUUAUUGGUUGUAUUUUUGCUGCACUUGCUUGAAAAAUAAUUAUUUUCAAAGAAAAGAAGAAUUACAUAUCCAGUAAACUAAAUAAGACUCACUGUUUAUUAGAGACCUCUGACAGCUCCUCAAACACGAAAAAAGAUUUCCAAGUAGUGGAUGGACAAUUUAUGUGUAAGUUUAUUUGUAAAACAGAUUUCAAAACAUACUUCAUCUUGACUCUGCCAAUAAAAAUACAUUCCAUUUCUUUUCAGAAGUAUGUCUUAUCUGAUGGCUUCACAGUAAUCUGGUUUCCCCUAAGAAGCUAAGACUAUCUGGGCUAUUUGAGAUCCUGCAAGAUUUAUCAAGACUGUACUAGCCAUAUGAAAGCAUGUUAACACAGGGAGGGAGAGAGGAAAAGCCCUCCACAUGUUAUGACUGGCAUACAUGCUUCCAAAGCAUCGUUACUAACCGAAGGCCCAGUUCCUGAGGCGAUCACCCCAGACACACUGAAUGCAAUUUGUUGGUCACUGAGUGGGUAUACCUAAUCACCACAGAUGUUUACAUGCAGCUGCAUUUUCUCUCCGUUUGAGUCACAAUGUUUUAUAU